rnacentral:rRNA from 1 species
CCCUUAGAUGUCCUGGGCCGCACGCGCGCUACACUGACGAAUGCAACGAGCUUAUAACCUUGGCCGAAAGGUCUGGGUAAUCUCCAAAUUUCGUCGUGAUGGGGAUAGAUUAUUGCAAUUAUUAAUCUUCAACGAGGAAUGCCUAGUAAGCGCAAGUCAUCAGCUUGCGUUGAUUACGUCCCUGCCCUUUGUACACACCGCCCGUCGCUCCUACCGAUUGAAUGGUCCGGUGAAGCGCUCGGACCGCGGCCUCUUGACGGUUCGCUGUCGAUUGGCUGUGGGAAGUUCGUUAAACCUUAUCAUUUAGAGGAAGGAGAAGUCGUAACA